GACAGAGGGGGCAAGCGUUGCUCGGAAUCACUGGGCGUAAAGGGCGCGUAGGCGGGAUGGCAAGUCGGUCGUGAAAGCCUUCGGCUCAACCGAAGAACGUCGGCCGAUACUGCCGUUCUUGAGGGAUGCAGAGGAGACUGGAAUUCCCGGUGUAGCGGUGAAAUGUGUAGAGAUCGGGAGGAACACCGGUGGCGAAGGCGGGUCUCUGGGCAUCUCCUGACGCUGAGGCGCGAAAGCGUGGGGAGCAAACGGG
rnacentral:rRNA from 1 species